rnacentral:rRNA from 1 species
UUGAAGAGUUUGAUCAUGGCUCAGAUUGAACGCUGGCGGCAGGCCUAACACAUGCAAGUCGAGCGGUAGCACAGAGAGCUUGCUCUCGGGUGACGAGCGGCGGACGGGUGAGUAAUGUCUGGGAAACUGCCUGAUGGAGGGGGAUAACUACUGGAAACGGUAGCUAAUACCGCAUAACGUCGCAAGACCAAAGUGGGGGACCUUCGGGCCUCAUGCCAUCAGAUGUGCCCAGAUGGGAUUAGCUAGUAGGUGGGGUAACGGCUCACCUAGGCGACGAUCCCUAGCUGGUCUGAGAGGAUGACCAGCCACACUGGAACUGAGACACGGUCCAGACUCCUACGGGAGGCAGCAGUGGGGAAUAUUGCACAAUGGGCGCAAGCCUGAUGCAGCCAUGCCGCGUGUGUGAAGAAGGCCUUCGGGUUGUAAAGCACUUUCAGCGGGGAGGAAGGCGAUAAGGUUAAUAACCUUGUCGAUUGACGUUACCCGCAGAAGAAGCACCGGCUAACUCCGUGCCAGCAGCCGCGGUAAUACGGAGGGUGCAAGCGUUAAUCGGAAUUACUGGGCGUAAAGCGCACGCAGGCGGUCUGUCAAGUCGGAUGUGAAAUCCCCGGGCUCAACCUGGGAACUGCAUUCGAAACUGGCAGGCUAGAGUCUUGUAGAGGGGGGUAGAAUUCCAGGUGUAGCGGUGAAAUGCGUAGAGAUCUGGAGGAAUACCGGUGGCGAAGGCGGCCCCCUGGACAAAGACUGACGCUCAGGUGCGAAAGCGUGGGGAGCAAACAGGAUUAGAUACCCUGGUAGUCCACGCCGUAAACGAUGUCGAUUUGGAGGUUGUGCCCUUGAGGCGUGGCUUCCGGAGCUAACGCGUUAAAUCGACCGCCUGGGGAGUACGGCCGCAAGGUUAAAACUCAAAUGAAUUGACGGGGGCCCGCACAAGCGGUGGAGCAUGUGGUUUAAUUCGAUGCAACGCGAAGAACCUUACCUGGUCUUGACAUCCACAGAACUUUCCAGAGAUGGAUUGGUGCCUUCGGGAACUGUGAGACAGGUGCUGCAUGGCUGUCGUCAGCUCGUGUUGUGAAAUGUUGGGUUAAGUCCCGCAACGAGCGCAACCCUUAUCCUUUGUUGCCAGCGGUUCGGCCGGGAACUCAAAGGAGACUGCCAGUGAUAAACUGGAGGAAGGUGGGGAUGACGUCAAGUCAUCAUGGCCCUUACGACCAGGGCUACACACGUGCUACAAUGGCAUAUACAAAGAGAAGCGACCUCGCGAGAGCAAGCGGACCUCAUAAAGUAUGUCGUAGUCCGGAUUGGAGUCUGCAACUCGACUCCAUGAAGUCGGAAUCGCUAGUAAUCGUAGAUCAGAAUGCUACGGUGAAUACGUUCCCGGGCCUUGUACACACCGCCCGUCACACCAUGGGAGUGGGUUGCAAAAGAAGUAGGUAGCUUAACCUUCGGGAGGGCGCUUACCACUUUGUGAUUCAUGACUGGGGUGAAGUCGUAACAAGGUAACCGUAGGGGAACCUGCGGUUGGAUCACCUCCUU